UACGGAAGGCAGCAGGGGGAAUAUUGCACAAUGGGCGAAAGCCUGAUGCAGCUAUGCCGCGUGUAUGAAGAAGGCCUUAGGGUUGUAAAGUACUUUCAUCGGGGAGGAAAAACAAAACUAAUAAUUUUAUUUCUUGACGUUACCCGAAAAAGAAGCACCGGCUAACUCCGUGCCAGCAGCCGCGGUAAUACGGAGGGUGCUAGCGUUAAUCAGAAUUACUGGGCGUAAAGAGCACGUAGGUGGUUUUUUUAAGUCAGAUGUGAAAUCCCUGGGCUUAACCUAGGAACUGCAUUUUGAAACUGAAAUACUAGAGUAUCGUAGAGGGAGGUAGAAUUCUAGGUGUAGCGGUGAAAUGCGUAGAUAUCUGGAGGAAUACCUGUGGCGAAAGCGGCCUCCUAAACGAAUACUGACACUGAGGGUGCGAAAGCGUGGGGAGCAAAACAGGGAUUAAGAUACC
rnacentral:rRNA from 1 species